rnacentral:rRNA from 1 species
UACGUAGGGACCGAGCGUUGUCCGGAUUCAUUGGGCGUAAAGAGCUCGUAGGCGGCUGCUCAAGUCGAAUGUGAAAACUCGAGGCUCAACCUCGAGCCUGCAUUCGAUACUGGGCGGCUAGAGUCUGGUAGGGGGAUCUGGAAUUCCUGGUGUAGCGGUGGAAUGCGCAGGAUAUCAGGAGGAACACCGGUGGCGAAGGCGGGAUCCUGGGCCAGUACUGACGGCUGAGGAGCGAAAGCGUGGGGAGCAAACAGG